CCUACGGGAGGCAGCAGUGAGGAAUAUUGGUCAAUGGACGAGAGUCUGAACCAGCCAAGUAGCGUGAAGGAUGACUGCCCUAUGGGUUGUAAACUUCUUUUAUAUGGGAAUAAAAUGUUCCACGUGUGGGAUUUUGUAUGUACCAUAUGAAUAAGGGUCGGCUAACUCCGUGCCAGCAGCCGCGGUAAUACGGAGGGUCCGAGCGUUAUCCGGAUUUAUUGGGUUUAAAGGGAGCGUAGGGGGAUUGUUAAGUCAGUUGUGAAAGUUUGCGGCUCAACCGUAAAAUUGCAGUUGAAACUGGCAGUCUUGAGUACAGUAGAGGUAGGCGGAAUUCGUGGUGUAGCGGUGAAAUGCUUAGAUAUCACGAAGAACUCCGAUUGCGAAGGCAGUUCACUGGACUGCAACUGACACUGAGGCUCGAAGGUGUGGGUAUCAAACAGGAUUAGAUACCCGAGUAGUC
rnacentral:rRNA from 1 species